rnacentral:piRNA from 1 species
UACAACUGCAAGAUGCCUGAGAUCGAC